AGUAAACGAUGAAUACUCGCUGUUGCGAUAUACAGUAAGCGGCCAAGCGAAAGCAUAAGUAUUCCACCGGGGAGUACGCCGGCAACGGUGAAACUCAAAGGAAUGACGGGGCCCGCACAAGCGGAGGAACAUGUGGUUUAAUUCGAUGAUACGCGAGGAACCUUACCCGGGCUUAAAUUGCAAAUGAAUUAUGGGGAAACCCAUAGGCCGCAAGGCAUUUGUGAAGGUGCUGCAUGGUGUCGUCAGCUCGUGCCGUGAGGUGUCGGCUUAAGUGCCAUAACGAGCGCAACCCUUAUCUUCAGUUACUAACAGGUCAUGCUGAGGACUCUGGAGAGACCGCCGUCGUAAGAUGUGAGGAAGGUGGGGACGACGUCAAAUCAGCACGGCCCUAACUCCGGGGCUACACACGUGUUACAAUGGGGGG
rnacentral:rRNA from 1 species